UGGAGUCCAGAACCCAUUUGGUACCAAAGCAAAGCUCUACAAAAACUUAACAUUACUAACAACUAUGAACCAUGUGUUGCAGACUGACCCAAGCAUAUAGUGCUCAGUUUGUCCUAACUUGUGUCUUUUCCAGAGGCAGACAUUGUCACUACUGUCUGGAAUCCUGGCAUUGGCACCAUCUUUUAAGACCAGCUACACCACCAGUCAGCAUUGGCAGUCCAUUGUUGUUCUUCAUCGUGCACUUAGUUGGACAGCAACCACAAACCAAUGUGUCUCAGGACACAAAACUGGCACAGUUGACCUUCCUUGCACAUGUAAAUGCACAUUUGUACACCCAUCACUGUUUAAGCACUGAGCCACAUAGCUUGUCUGUCCUAAAUUCCAUCCAAUUUUACAAGCCUGUCUAAGUCAGUGCUACCCUUCCCCCAAUGCCCAGUGUCAUCACUUAAUAUUGGACCACCAUCACUUAAUCAUAAAACCCCUGCAAUGCAGAAGUAGCCAUUCAGCCCAUUGAGUCGGCACUGACUCACUGAAGAGCACCUCAUCUGGACCCAUCCCCCACCUUAUCCCCAAAACCCACAUUUACCAUGGCUAAACUACCUAUCCUGUCCAUCACUGGACACCAAGGGGGAAUUUCUCACGACCAAUUCACCUAACUUGCACAUAUUUGGACUGAGAGGAAACUGGAACACUUGGCAGAAAUCCAUGAAGACACAGGGAAAAUGUGCAAACUCCAAACAGACAGUCAACUGAGGCUGGAAUUGAACCCUGAUUCCUGGUGCUAUGAGGUAGCAUUGCCAACCACAUACUGGAAAACCUUCAAAGCAUUCACUACUAUACAGCAACACUAUGGUGAACAAAAAAACUAACAGAAGCUGAAUUUGCCCCUCAAAACAGAAACGGGAUUUUGAGCAGCAACAAAUUCACAGUCAAUGAAUGAUCUCUGUACACAGCUCUCAUCUACUG